UACGUAGGGCGCGAGCGUUGUCCGGAAUUAUUGGGCGUAAAGAGCUCGUAGGCGGCUUGUCACGUCGGGUGUGAAAGACCGGGGCUUAACUCCGGUUCUGCAUUCGAUACGGGCUAGCUAGAGUGUGGUAGGGGAGAUCGGAAUCCUGGUGUAGCGGUGAAAUGCGCAGAUAUCAGGAGGAACACCGGUGGCGAAGGCGGAUCUCUGGGCCAUUACUGACGCUGAGGAGCGAAAGCGUGGGGAGCGAACAGG
rnacentral:rRNA from 1 species